GGGGAACCUGCGGCUGGAUCACCUCCUUAAUCGACGACAACAGCUGGCUCAUGAGCUCCCACACGAAUUGCUUGAUUCAUUGAAGAAGACGAUUGGGUCUGUAGCUCAGUUGGUUAGAGCGCACCCCUGAUAAGGGUGAGGUCGGCAGUUCGAAUCUGCCCAGACCCACCAAUUAUGGGGCCAUAGCUCAGCUGGGAGAGCGCCUGCCUUGCACGCAGGAGGUCAGCGGUUCGAUCCCGCUUGGCUCCACCACCUUUGGUGCUCCAUCGUUGUCAAAGCUUAGAAAUGAGCAUUCCAUCGACUGAUGGUUGAAUGCUGAUUUCUGAUCUUUUUCAGAAUCGUUCUUUAAAAAUUUGGGUAUGUGAUAGAAAGAUAGACUGGACAGCACUUUCACUGGUGUUUGUUCAGGCUAAGGUAAAAUUUGUGAGUUGCUCUUAGAGUAAAUGCGAAUUUUCGGCGAAUGUCGUCUUCACAGUAUAACCAGAUUGCUUGGGGUUAUAUGGUCAAGUGAAGAAGCGCAUAC
rnacentral:tRNA from 1 species